UACGUAUGUCACAAGCGUUAUCCGGAUUUAUUGGGCAUAAAGGGCAUCUAGGCGGCUUUGUAAGUCCGAUGUGAAAAUGCGGGGCUCAACCCCGUAUUGCGUUGGAAACUACUUAGCUAGAGUAUUGGAGAGGUAGGCGGAACUACAUGUGUAGAGGUGAAAUUCGUAGAUAUAUGUAGGAAUGCCGAUGACGAAGGUAGCUUACUGGACAAUUACUGACGCUGAAGUGCGAAAGCUAGGGGAGCGAACAGG
rnacentral:rRNA from 1 species